CAGUAGCCGCGGUAAUACGUAGGGUGCAAGCGUUAAUCGGAAUUACUGGGCGUAAAGCGUGCGCAGGCGGUUAUAUAAGACAGAUGUGAAAUCCCCGGGCUCAACCUGGGAACUGCAUUUGUGACUGUAUAGCUAGAGUACGGCAGAGGGGGAUGGAAUUCCGCGUGUAGCAGUGAAAUGCGUAGAUAUGCGGAGGAACACCGAUGGCGAAGGCAGCCCCCUGGGCCAAUACUGACGCCCAUGCACGAAAGCGUGGGGAGCAAACAGGAUUAGAUACCCCAGUAGUCCCUGUCUCUUAUAC
rnacentral:rRNA from 1 species